rnacentral:tRNA from 1 species
GAGGGUAUAGCUCAGUGGUGGAGCACGUGCUCAGCGUGUCAGAGGUCCUGGGUUCAGUCCCCAGUACCUCCA